rnacentral:rRNA from 1 species
CCUACGGGUGGCAGCAGUGGGGAAUAUUGGGCAAUGGGCGCAAGCCUGACCCAGCAACGCCGCGUGCAUGAAGAAGGCUUUCGGGUUGUAAACUUCUUUUAAGAGGGAAGAGUCGAAGCCGGUACCACUUGAAUAAGCCACGGCUACCUACGUGCCAGCAGCCGCGGUAAUACGUAGGUGGCAAGCGUUGUCCGGAUUUACUGGGUGUAAAGGGCGUGUAGCCGGGCCGGCAAGUCAGAUGUGAAAUCCCAAGGCUCAACCUUGGAACUGCCUUUGAAACUGUUGGUCUUGAGUAUCGGAGAGGCAGGCGGAAUGCCGAGUGGAGCGGUGAAAUGCGUAGAUAUUAGGAGGAACACCAGUGGCGAAGGCGGCCUGCUGGACGACAACUGACGGUGAGGAGCGAAAGCGUGGGGAGCAAACAGGAUUAGAGACCCGAGUAGUC